AACCCCAACAGCUUAUCCUCAUUGUAGGAGUAGCGGCAUUGACAUUGGCAAUGGCUGUUAACUGCGCCACUUCUUCUUCCCUUUUCAUUUCCAAACCCUCUAACAAACCCUCACCCUCCUCCGUCACGACCACGCCGUUCCUCGGCUUUUCACUCGCCGCUUCGACCAAACCCGCCGUCCAAUCCAAAAGGCUUUUCAAGAUAUGCUGCCAAGACAAACCCGCUGUUAUACCGGCCGAGCAGCAGUGGAUGUUCGACGAUCUCACUGGCCCCGAUGUGUGGAAUAAGACAUGGUAUCCCAAGGCUAAGGACCAUAUUCCAACCAGCAAGACUUGGUACGUGGUGGAUGCUAGCGACAAGAUUCUUGGAAGACUAGCUUCGACAAUAGCCAUUCAUAUCAGGGGAAAGAAUCUAGCUACAUACACUCCUAGUGUCGACAUGGGAGCCCAUGUUAUAGUGGUGAAUGCGGAGAAGAUCGCUGUAUCUGGAAAGAAGAGGACACUGAAACUCUACCGGAGGCACUCAGGAAGACCUGGUGGCAUGACAGUGGAAACAUUCGAUCAGCUUCAGAAGAGAGUUCCUGAAAGAAUUAUUGAGCAUGCUGUGCGUGGGAUGCUCCCUAAAGGGCGACUUGGCAGAUCAUUGUUUACCCAUCUUAAGGUUUACACUGGUCCAGAUCACCCUCAUGAAGCUCAACAACCCAAGGAAUUGCCUAUAAGGGACAAGAGGAUAACAAAGCAGACGUAGAGGUGUUAAUGUUUCUUUGAGUGUCAGGAACGCCAGCAAGGCACCAAUGGCUGCAGUCGAUCCCGCCCCCAGCAUACGUGGAUGGAUGGCCAUCCUUCCCCAGCUGAGUCAGUAAAAGUAUGUCUAGCAGAGUUGCAGGUUUGUCCAUGUUGCUCAGUACAGUCCUGAUCACCGCGUCCCCCGGAGGUUUGCUUACUGGGAAAGUGGACCCUUCAACGGGCUUUGGUCUGCCCCCUGCAGUCCUGCACGCUAGAGCUUACUGGCAAUGAACUGUAGAAAUCCGUUGGAAGAAGACAAAGGUGUAUGCUUGCAUGAGAUCCAUGUCCGGGAAUGUGUUGUUUCCGAGCAGGCACGAGUAAAAGAAGAAGAUGAAGAUGAUGUUUAUUUAAGGGAAUGGACUGAUGUUUUAAGGCGGCCGGAGUGGAGCCACCAGUGGUAGGUGUUGAAGAUCAAGACAUGGUAGCCUAGCCAGAGGGCGAGGGUGUGGAGCAUCAAGAAUCCGUUUAUCAACAACUUAAUCGUGAAAUCGUAUUCCUUUAAUUUACAAAAGGGAAGGGAAGGGAAGGGAAGGGAAGAAGAGUUGGUAGUUACUCCAUUUACUGUUAUUAUUAGCAAAAUGGAAACAAUAAUAAUAAUAAUAAUAAUAAUGUGAUUGAGUUGUUGAUUUGAUGUACCACCGGGAAGAUGGGGACAGAGGCGUGAAGGAAGCAUGCAUGCACGCCAUAGAUUCCCACUCAGUGACUCUCCCACAUACAUUACCUUUUUGCCCCUGUACCUCUCCAUUCCAUACAUUCAUAAUUCACUCUUUUAACAUUUAUUACUACUCCUAUCAUUCUUUU